UACGUAGGGGGCAAGCGUUGUCCGGAAUCAUUGGGCGUAAAGCGCGCGUAGGCGGCCCGGUAAGUCCGCUGUAAAAGUCCAGGGCUCAACCCUGGAAAGCCGGUGGAUACUGUCGGGCUAGAGUCCGGAAGAGGCGAGUGGAAUUCCUGGUGUAGCGGUGAAAUGCGCAGAUAUCAGGAAGAACACCCGUGGCGAAGGCGGCUCUCUGGGACGGUACUGACGCUGAGACGCGAAAGCGUGGGGAGCGAACAGG
rnacentral:rRNA from 1 species